AGCGAACGCUGGCGGCAGGCCUAACACAUGCAAGUCGAACGGAUCCUUCGGGAUUAGUGGCGGACGGGUGAGUAACACGUGGGAACGUGCCCUUUGGUUCGGAUCAACUCAGGGAAACUUGAGCUAAUACCGGAUGUGCCCUUCGGGGGAAAGAUUUAUCGCCAUUGGAGCGGCCCGCGUCUGAUUAGCUAGUUGGUGAGGUAACGGCCCACCAAGGCGACGAUCAGUAGCUGGUCUGAGAGGAUGAUCAGCCACACUGGGACUGAGACACGGCCCAGACUCCUACGGGAGGCAGCAGUGGGGAAUCUUGCGCAAUGGGCGAAAGCCUGACGCAGCCAUGCCGCGUGAAUGAUGAAGGUCUUAGGAUUGUAAAAUUCUUUCAGCGGGGACGAUAAUGACGGUACCCGCAGAAGAAGCGCCGGCUAACUUCGUG
rnacentral:rRNA from 1 species